UGAGGAAUAUUGGUCAAUGGGCGCGAGCCUGAACCAGCCAAGUCGCGUGAGGGAAGACUGCCCUAUGGGUUGUAAAUCCUCGUUUUGUCGGGGAGCAACGACAUCUCGAGAGAUGUGAUGAGAGUACCCGAAGAAAAAUGCAUCGGCUAACUCCGUGCCAGCAGCCGCGGUAAUACGGAGGAUGCGAGCGUUAUCCGGAUUUAUUGGGUUUAAAGGGUGCGUAGGCGGGAUUUCAAGUCAGCGGUCAAAUCGUGGGGCCCCAAACCCCCAUUCCGCCGUUGAAACUGGGAUUCUUGAGGGAUCGAGAGGUAUGCGGAAUGCGUGGUGUAGCUGUGAAAUGCAUAGAUAUCACGCAGAACCCCGAUUGCGAAGGCAGCAUACCGGCGGUCUACUGACGCUGAGGCACGAAAGCGUGGGUAUCGAACAGGAUUAGAUACU
rnacentral:rRNA from 1 species